UGGGGAAUAUUGCACAAUGGGCGCAAGCCUGAUGCAGCCAUGCCGCGUGUAUGAAGAAGGCCUUCGGGUUGUAAAGUACUUUCAGCGGGGAGGAAGGGAGUAAAGUUAAUACCCUUGCUCAUUGACGUUACCCGCAGAAGAAGCACCGGCUAACUCCGUGCCAGCAGCCGCGGUAAUACGGAGGGUGCAAGCGUUAAUCGGAAUUACUGGGCGUAAAGCGCACGCAGGCGGUUUGUUAAGUCAGAUGUGAAAUCCCCGGGCUCAACCUGGGAACUGCAUCUGAUACUGGCAAGCUUGAGUCUCGUAGAGGGGGGUAGAAUUCCAGGUGUAGCGGUGAAAUGCGUAGAGAUCUGGAGGAAUACCGGUGGCGAAGGCGGCCCCCUGGACGAAGACUGACGCUCAGGUGCGAAAGCGUGGGGAGCAAACAGG
rnacentral:rRNA from 1 species